rnacentral:rRNA from 1 species
UACGUAGGGGGCAAGCGUUGUCCGGAUUCAUUGGGCGUAAAGAGCGUGUAGGCGGCUAUACAGGUCCGCUGUGAAAACUCGAGGCUCAACCUCGAGACGUCGGUGGAAACCGUAUGGCUAGAGUCCGGAAGAGGAGAGUGGAAUUCCUGGUGUAGCGGUGAAAUGCGCAGAUAUCAGGAAGAACACCCGUGGCGAAGGCGGCUCUCUGGGGCGGUACUGACGCUGAGACGCGAAAGCGUGGGGAGCGAACAGG